rnacentral:lncRNA from 1 species
GAAAACACAAGUAUUAAAGAGAGAACUGUGGAAACUUACUCUGGAAGUUUCAGAUGAAAUAAAUUCCCAGAGAUGAGUGCAUCUGACAACCAGAAAUGGCAACGCUGUGGGCUCAAUGUCAUCACAAGGGUGCUUAAGAGGGAAAGAGGAAGCCAUGAGGGUCAGAGUCAAAGGAAGACUUGAAGAUACUACACUGCGGACUUUAAAGAUGAAGGAAGGGGCGAAAACCAAGAAUGUGGGAAGCCUCUAGAAGCUAGAGAAGGCAAGGAAACAAAUUUUCCACUAGAGCCUCCAGAAGGAACACAGCCCUGCUGACCCACUGUAAUGUCUGACCUCUAGAUGUGUAAGGGUAGUAAGACUGAAAGUCUCAGAAAGGCACUGUUAAAUUCUUAUUCCUCAACUAUGCAACUCAAAACUGGGGUCCUCAGCAGUGAGCGAGGGGUGAGAGAAGACACUGUAUAAACAUGGCACAUCCUCCUGGAAAGUCAACUUUACUCAAAGGUUCUUACACACAGUGACAGCUAGCAGAGUCUAAAAUGCUGACAUUAUGACUUAGAGAUGUGAUAAAGAGAAACAUCUAUUGCAUUUUCUGUAAGUAAAUGUGGUGCCGGCAUUGAGAGAACAUACGUAAUCAGAUACCUGUUCUCCCUGAGUUUCUUAAUUUAAGCCUCGCGAUUCCUAAUUAGCAGUUAGAUUGCAUCCAUUGUUAUUUUGUCUUUGGUUAUCAAUGAUGAUCAACCUUUGCUAAACAAAGAUAUGUCAUCAUGCUGGGGACACUCAUGGAUUUUUUUUUAAAGGUUUUAACAUUUGAUAAUAGGUUUUCCAAUAGCUUGAAGGGUAGCUUUUAACAUUUCUUUUCCAGCUGAAGUAUUUCCUGAGUUCUGUCCAAGCCCUCUGUAGUUAAAGAAAAGGCUUUUUGACACUGAAUAGACAAUGUUGUGGCUUUUUUUUUCCUUCUUCAGACAAAUGUAUAGGCAUUUAGACCGCCACGUUGUACUCUCGUAAUUGAGAUACCUUGCAGAAAUGGCAAUUAAGGGUGACUCGUGUCAAAAAUAUUCAGGACAAAUUACAUUUUACUGAUUUUUAAAAACUUUCAAAGGUACUCUCUCCUCUUUCUUUCUCCUUUCUCUCUUCCUGCCUCCCUCCCACCCGCUCCUCGUUUUUUCUUUUAAAUAUUAAGUAAACUAUUUGCAUUUUUACGUCUCAUCAAAGUUGUUCCAGGUUUUUUCUGGGUUUACUGAAACUCCAAAUCGACUACUCAGAUCAAAACAAUUAGUGAAGUCUAAGGUAUUCUUAAUUCCUGAAAUGAAAACAGAAUGGACGUUCGGGACGUUCUGUUUUGCUCUGGCUACCCGCUUGGCUUCUCGCUCAGAAUAUUCUUGCUCUCAAGUUAGUUCCAGUUCUGUUUAUUUUGUCCUGAGCUCAGUGAACUUUCCAAAGCCCUACUCUUCAAACAACACUUUUUUUCCCCCGCCCCGUGAGCUGGAGUUUAUUUUGUGCUCACCCUUCAUUCUGUGAGUUGUGAAUAAUUUUAACACAAAGAAAAAAAAAUCUCCUCCUGACCACGGAGAGAAGAGGGGAUUUUAGAAUAAAGAUAAAAAUUGCUGUUUUAGCCCCCAAAGCAAAGGACUUGGGAAAGAAGAGAAAAGGGGGGAAAAUAGAACAGCAAAGGAAAAAAAAAAAAAAAAAAAACAGAAAAAAAUUUUUUAUAAGGGUGUCAGUACAAAACAGGUGUUUGAUGAAGCUCAAGCAAAACAAAUGACAAAGUUAGCAUUGAAAGGCCAAAUACGUGAUACACAUUUAAACUACUUAGGUAAAUUUAUUUAUGAAAUAAAUAUGCAGUUUUUCAAAUUUGAACAUGGAGCAAAUGUUUACAGAUUGAAACUUAUCAUUUCUUGAUUACCAGUAUGAAGUAGGGCAAUAGUCCUAUUGAAAGCCAUUCUUAAUUGGGCUCAUUGUAAAUGUUUGGUUAAAAGAAAAGAUUAAAGUGAGCUUUGGCCUCUGUGGAAUGCUGAGGCUGGUGAAAUUUCUGGUUCUAGCAUUAUCCUCAAAUUGUCUCACAGAGAAUUAUAUUUUACAAAGUUAGAAGGCGGAAGAACCCUACUCUUUGUUUUAGGUUUGCCUAGCAUCCAGUCAGAGAUGGGUAAAUAAGGACAGAACCAUGGGACUCCAGUGGCCUUACUUAGGAGGCCCAUACUAAUGGCAACGGCAAGACAGUGCUACAUAGACAUAAAUAAUCUGUGAUUGCAGAUGUGCAGGUACAGUAUAAAAAAAUUAUUCUAUCCUUAUAGUCUUAGGUGUUGGCACAUUUCUUUUGAGCCCAUGUAUAGAAGAGGACAACAUGAAAAAUGAAAUAUUCAAGCCGUGGAGAAAAAGAAAAUAUAUUGUUGUAUUUUAUUUAUGGAAUGCCCACUAUGUGCUGGUUCUCUACUGGCCCUAGAGAAGUACAGCUGUGAUCAAGACAGACAUAGUUCCUGCCCCCAUGGAGCUUACAAUCUAUCGCAGAGCUAGACCAGGGAAAAGAGUAUGAAGUGUGUAGAAUGAGAAGUAGAGAGUGUUACAGGAACACCCAGAAAACUAAGGUUAUUGGUUUAGUUGAUUUUUCCCCCUCUUUUUUUCUUCCCUCUUUUUCCUCUUCACCGUCUCUUUUCCUCUUCCCUUUCUUUCUCUCUUUCCCCUUUCCCUCUCUCUUUGUUCCUCUCUUUCCCUCUUGAUCUUUAUUUUCCAAACAGAAUUCAGCCAAACUCAUUUUUUAAAAGAGAAACAGUCUAACAUUAUUUAGAAAGAGCAGCAUAUUAUAAGUGGUUACAGCCAUAGACUUGGAAGGGUGUGACCCAGAUUGGAAUCCUGGCUCUGCCAUCAACUAGCCUGUAUUCUUACUCAAAAGAUAUUAUCUGUGUCUUCUUUUAUUAAAAAUAGGGCUAGAAAUAUGUACUUUUAGGAAUUUAUAGGAAUUUUAGAUGUGACCUUGUAAGUAAAGUCUCUGGCUUCCUUUCUAGCAGGUAGUGAUCAUGCUAAAAUCGUUAGCUACUACCAUAUUAUUAUUAUUACUAUUACUAUUAUUAUUUUUCUUUUUAUUUUGUAGAAGCAAUGUCUGUAUUAUACAACAGCUAAAAAAUAGUGAAUGAUGAUAUUAAUCAAUUGAAAGAAUUUUCUCCAAAAACAAUGACUAGCUUUGGAAUUACGUAAUUCUUAUGUUUUGUUUUGCCUAUUCACAAAAGCUGUUGUUUUUGAAUGUUAAAUAUAAAAACCAUUUUCAAUAAAUAAAUUUUUAGAUAAGAUACUAGAGCCAUAUUAUUUACAAUUGUGUUGUCUUUUCCUGUGAACAGUUUUAGGAUUAAAGCUUGAGCCAAAUUUCAAUGAGCCCCUUUAGGAGAUAGGGAAAUUUAUUAAUACUUACUUUGAUUCAAGAGUGAUUG